rnacentral:RNase_P_RNA from 3 species
UGCAUCGGUCAGUAGCUGCAGAUGCAGAGGAAAGUCCGUGCUAGCACUACCUGCGAUGGUAGUAGUGAUCUUGCUAAAUCUAAUAAAUUUAGGCUUUUUGACGACUAGUGCCACAGAGACGAUAAAUGUGAAACGGGUAAACUCCAAGAGCUAGAAACCCAAAUUUUGGUAGGGGAAUUCGAGUUUAAUAACUGAAUUAAACUCGAAAACUAUUUUUUAAUAGUUAGAUAAAUUACUGACAAUUGAAUUUCAAUUACAGAACACGGCUUAUAGAU